GUGAUGAGGGCUUAACGGCUCACGUUUUCUGGGAGAGUGUCGCACCUUUGA
rnacentral:snoRNA from 1 species